CACUGCCGCACAUGACCCAUGACGACUAGCGGAUACUCUGUGAGAGAUUUUUGUUUGAGUCUUUUCAGAAGAGAAACAAAAUAAAUUCUGACAACAGGAGAAAGUUAGAAGUGAAUCACGUAGCUGGUUUAAAGUCAUUUGUACAACUUCGUCACGACAUGGUAAGAAAUUACUGGUGAUUAUUAAGUUGAUAUAUUCCUUCCAUGCAUUUAUAUUAACUCUAUUGUCCUUUUAAUUGCACCGCGAGAUUCCGUCACUGGCCAGGAGCCCGGACCAGUAGACCUCUAUAGAGGGACUCACUGUUGGCAGGCGAUGGGAUCUUGGGUACAUCAUAGAGCCAGCGAGAAUUGGGCGGCGAUGAACACCUUACGCAGUCAGCCCACUCCCAAUGGUACUCAGCGGAGUGAGUCAGAGAUCUUGAGUGAGGUGUUUGGCACCCGUUCUGGAUAUGUGCGUGG